rnacentral:rRNA from 1 species
AGCUCCAAUAGCGUAUAUUAAAGUUGUUGCAGUUAAAAAGCUCGUAGUUGAACUUGUGGUCUGGGUGGAUCGGUGCCACGCUCAUGCGUGGGUACCUGAGCCACCCGUCCAUCCUUGGGUGGAACCUGUGUGGCAUUAAGUUGUCGUGCAGGGGAUGCCCAUCGUUUACUGUGAAAAAAUUAGAGUGUUCAAAGCAGGCUUAUGCCGUUGAAUAUAUUAGCAUGGAAUAAUAAGAUAGGACUUUAGUACUAUUUUGUUGGUUUGUGCACUAAAGUAAUGAUUAAUAGGGACAGUUGGGGGUAUUCGUAUUCCAUUGUCAGAGGUGAAAUUCUUGGAUUUUUGGAAGACGAACUACUGCGAAAGCAUUUACCAAGGAUGUUUUCAUUAAUCAAGAACGAAA